CCCCUGGACGUUCUGGGCUGCACGCGCGCUACAAUAAUACGCACAGCGAGUAUCACCGAGCUCGAAAGGGCAAGGUAAACAAUAGAAAAGGUACUGUAAUGGUUAUAGAUCCUUGUAAUUAUUGAUCUUCAACGAGGAAUUCCUAGUAAGUAUGUGUCAUCAUCACGCACUGAUUACGUCCCUGCCCUUUGUACACACCGCCCGUCGCUCCUACCGAUUGAGUGAGCCGAUGAAACUGCCGGAUGUGGACUAUUCAUAGUCUGCAGAAGAUAUUUGAAUCGUAGCGCUUAGAGGAAGGAGAAGUCGUAACA
rnacentral:rRNA from 1 species